rnacentral:tRNA from 1 species
GCCUGUGUGGCUCAGUUGGUUGAGCAUCUGACUUCAGCUCAGGUCAUGAUCUCAGUUUGUGGGUUUGAGCCCCACAUCGGGCU